rnacentral:tRNA from 1 species
GCCUUCGUGGUGUAGUGGUCUGCAUAUUCGUCGCGUAACCGAGAGUACCGUGGUUCGAUUCGCGGCGAAGGCA